rnacentral:rRNA from 1 species
AUUGAACGCUGGCGGCAGGCCUAACACAUGCAAGUCGAACGGUAACAGGAAGCAGCUUGCUGCUUUGCUGACAAGUGGCGGACGGGUGAGUAAUGUCUGGGAAACUGCCUGAUGGAGGGGGAUAACUACUGGAAACGGUAGCUAAUACCGCAUAACGUCGCAAGACCAAAGAGGGGGACCUUCGGGCCUCUUGCCAUCGGAUGUGCCCAGAUGGGAUUAGCUAGUAGGUGGGGUAACGGCUCACCUAGGCGACGAUCCCUAGCUGGUCUGAGAGGAUGACCAGCCACACUGGAACUGAGACACGGUCCAGACUCCUACGGGAGGCAGCAGUGGGGAAUAUUGCACAAUGGGCGCAAGCCUGAUGCAGCCAUGCCGCGUGUAUGAAGAAGGCCUUCGGGUUGUAAAGUACUUUCAGCGGGGAGGAAGGGAGUAAAGUUAAUACCUUUGCUCAUUGACGUUACCCGCAGAAGAAGCACCGGCUAACUCCGUG